AGAGGACAGGAAUGGACAGAUCAGGUAGAAGACAGGAAUGGACAGAUCAGGUAGAAGACAGGAAUGGACAGAUCAGGUAGAAGACAGGAAUGGACAGAUCAGGUAGAAGACAGGAAUGCACAGAUCAGGUAGAGGACAGGAAUGGACAGAUCAGGUAGAAGACAGGAAUGGACAGAUCAGGUAGAAGACAGGAAUGGACAGAUCAGGUAGAAGACAGGAAUGGACAGAUCAGGUAGAAGACAGGAAUGGACAGAUCAGGUAGAAGA